GACAGAGGGUGCAAACGUUGCUCGGAAUUACUGGGCGUAAAGCGCAUGUAGGCGGCUCCGUAAGUCGGAUGUGAAAGCCCUCGGCUUAACCGAGGAAGUGCAUUCGAUACUGCAGAGCUAGAGUAUCGGAGAGGGUCGUGGAAUUCCUGGUGUAGAGGUGAAAUUCGUAGAUAUCAGGAGGAACACCGGCGGCGAAGGCGGCGACCUGGACGAAUACUGACGCUCAGAUGCGAAAGCGUGGGUAGCAAACAGG
rnacentral:rRNA from 1 species